rnacentral:rRNA from 1 species
AAUAAGCUAAUUAAGAGCGUAAGGUGGAUGCCUUGGCUCUCAGAGGCGAUGAAGGACGUGAUAAGCUGCGAUAAGCUACGGGGAUUGGCACACACAAUUUGAUCCGUAGAUUUCCGAAUGGGGAAACCCACUAUAUUGAAGAUAUAGUAUCCGUUAAGGAAGCAAACCCAGGGAACUGAAACAUCUAAGUACCUGGAGGAAUAGAAAACAAAAGUGAUUCCGCUAGUAGUGGCGAGCGAACGCGGAUCAGCCCAAACCAUAUUUGUUACGGCAAAUAGGGGGUUAUAGGACCACGACAUUUAAUGCUUGCAGAACUAGAAUGCAAUGGAAAUUGCGACCAAAGAGGGUGAUAGUCCCGUAUAGGUAAUAAGAGUAAUUGAUAGUGGUAUCCUGA